rnacentral:misc_RNA from 1 species
UACGAAGGGUGCAAGCGUUACUCGGAAUUACUGGGCGUAAAGCGUGCGUAGGCGGUUGGUUAAGUCAGAUGUGAAAGCCCUGGGCUCAACCUGGGAAUUGCAUUUGAAACUGGCCAGCUAGAGUUCGAUAGAGGGUCGCGGAAUUCCCGGUGUAGCGGUGAAAUGCGUAGAGAUCGGGAGGAACAUCAGUGGCGAAGGCGGCGACCUGGAUCAGAACUGACGCUGAGGCACGAAAGCGUGGGGAGCAAACAGG